rnacentral:lncRNA from 1 species
AUCAAGUGAUCAACAAGAUUCUCGGCCCGCUAGUAAAGAUAUUGAUUGUGCAGUCUUUUGGGUUGUUGAUGGGUACGUGUCCAGAGCCAGAUGCAUGUAUCUGUUGCAUUAAAGGACUUCCAAUUGUGGGCCGGUGAUCCAAAAAACCAUGGAUGCACAAUCUGAAGCAGCCUGCCAACGGCCUGAUGACCCUACCACGAUGCAAC